ACCUUAUAUGUAAUCACAGCAGUCAGGCGGCGAGUGAUAAAAUCCGUCGUCAAGAGGGAAACAACCCAGACUACCAGCUAAGGUCCCUAAAUCUUACUUAAGUGGAAAACGAUGUGAAGUUACUUAAACAACCAGGAGGUUGGCUUAGAAGCAGCCAUCCUUUAAAGAAAGCGUAAUAGCUCACUGGUCUAGUGAUUUUGCGCGGAAAAUAUAACGGGGCUAAAGUAAGUACCGAAGCUGUAGACUUAGUUUACUAAGUGGUAGGAGAGCGUUCUAUUUGCGUCGAAGGUAUACCGGUAAGGAGUGCUGGAGCGAAUAGAAGUGAGCAUGCAGGCAUGAGUAGCGAUAAUUAAUGUGAGAAUCAUUAACGCCGUAAACCCAAGGUUUCCUACGCGAUGCUCGUCAUCGUAGGGUUAGUCGGGUCCUAAGUCGAGUCCGAAAGGGGUAGACGAUGGCAAAUUGGUUAAUAUUCCAAUACCAACAUUAGUGUGCGAUGGAAGGACGCUUAGGGCUAAGGGGGCUAGCGGAUGGAAGUGCUAGUCUAAGGUCGUAGGAGGUUAUACAGGCAAAUCCGUAUAACAAUACUCCGAGAACUGAAAGGCUUUUUGAAGUCUUCGGAUGGAUAGAAGAACCCCUGAUGCCGUCGAGCCAAGAAAAGUUUCUAAGUUUAGCUAAUGUUGCCCGUACCGUAAACCGACACAGGUGGGUGGGAUGAGUAUUCUAAGGCGCGUGGAAGAACUCUCUUUAAGGAACUCUGCAAAAUAGCACCGUAUCUUCGGUAUAAGGUGUGGUUAGCUUUGUAUUAGGAUUUACUCCGAAAGCAAGGAAACUUACAACAAAGAGUCCCUCCCGACUGUUUACCAAAAACACAGCACUCUGCUAACUCGUAAGAGGAUGUAUAGGGUGUGACGCCUGCCCGGUGCUCGAAGGUUAAUUGAUGGGGUUAGCAUUAGCGAAGCUCUUGAUCGAAGCCCGAGUAAACGGCGGCCGUAACUAUAACGGUCCUAAGGUAGCGAAAUUCCUUGUCGGUUAAAUACCGACCUGCAUGAAUGGCGUAACGAGAUGGGAGCUGUCUCAAAGAGGGAUCCAGUGAAAUUGUAGUGGAGGUGAAAAUUCCUCCUACCCGCGGCAAGACGGAAAGACCCCGUGGACCUUUACUACAGCUUGACACUGCUACUUGGAUAAGAAUGUGCAGGAUAGGUGGGAGGCUUUGAGUAUAUGACGCCAGUUGUAUAUGAGCCAUUGUUGAGAUACCACUCUUUCUUAUUUGGGUAGCUAACCAGCUUGAGUUAUCCUCAAGUGGGACAAUGUCUGGUGGGUAGUUUGACUGGGGCGGUCGCCUCCCAAAUAAUAACGGAGGCUUACAAAGGUUGGCUCAGAACGGUUGGAAAUCGUUCGUAGAGUAUAAAGGUAUAAGCCAGCUUAACUGCAAGACAUACAAGUCAAGCAGAGACGAAAGUCGGUCUUAGUGAUCCGGUGGUUCUGUGUGGAAGGGCCAUCGCUCAAAGGAUAAAAGGUACCCCGGGGAUAACAGGCUGAUCUCCCCCAAGAGCUCACAUCGACGGGGAGGUUUGGCACCUCGAUGUCGGCUCAUCGCAUCCUGGGGCUGGAGCAGGUCCCAAGGGUAUGGCUGUUCGCCAUUUAAAGCGGUACGCGAGCUGGGUUCAGAACGUCGUGAGACAGUUCGGUCCCUAUCUGCCGUGGGCGUAAGAAGAUUGAAGAGAUUUGACCCUAGUACGAGAGGACCGGGUUGAACAAACCACUGGUGUAGCUGUUGUUCUGCCAAGAGCAUCGCAGCGUAGCUAAGUUUGGAAAGGAUAAACGCUGAAAGCAUCUAAGCGUGAAGCCAACUCUAAGAUGAAUCUUCUCUAAGCUCUCUAGAAGACUACUAGUUUGAUAGGCUGGGUGUGUAAUGGAUGAAAGUCCUUUAGCUGACCAGUACUAAUAGAGCGUUUGGCUUAUCUUU
rnacentral:rRNA from 1 species